CUUUUUCUUCGAUUAGAACUCUAAGAAAAAAUUACGCUGUUAUCCCUAAGGUAAUUUUUCUUUUAAUCUUUAAAAAAGGAUCAUAAUAUUCUUCCAAUCACUUAUUUAUGAAAUUUAAUAAAAAAAGUUAAAUAAAUUUUUCAAUCACCCCAAUCAAAUAUCCUUACCUUAAAAUAUACUUUCCUUUUAUUAAAAUUUUUAAGAAUAGGCUAUUAAACUCUAUAGGGUCUUCUCGUCUUUUAUAAAAAUUUAAGCUUUUUAACUUAAAAAUAAAAUUCAAAAAUUUAAAAUUGAGACAGUUAUUUUUUCAUCAAACCUUUCAUUCCAGCUUUCAAUUAAAAAACUAAUGAUUAUGCUACCUUAGCACAGUCAAAAUAC
rnacentral:rRNA from 1 species